GAUGAACGCUGGCGGCGUGCCUAAUACAUGCAAGUCGAGCGAACAGAUAAGGAGCUUGCUCCUUUGAAGUUAGCGGCGGACGGGUGAGUAACACGUGGGUAACAUACCUAUAAGACUGGGAUAACUUCGGGAAACCGGAGCUAAUACCGGAUAACAUUUAGAACCGCAUGGUUCUAAAGUGAAAGAUGGUUUUGCUAUCACUUAUAGAUGGACCCGCGCCGUAUUCCCUAGUUGGUAAGGUAACGGCUUACCAAGGCGACGAUAGUUAGCCGACCUGAGCGGGUGAUCGGCCACCCGGGAACUGAGACACGGUACCGACUCCUACGGGAGGCAGCAGUAGGGAAUCUUCCGCGAGGGGCGAAAGCCUGACGGAGCAACGCCGCGUGAGUGAUGAAGGGUUUCUGCUCGUAAAACGCUGUUAUUAGGGAAGAACAAAUGUGUAAGUAACUGUGCACAUCUUGACGGUACCUAAUCAGAAAGCCACGGCUAACUACGUG
rnacentral:rRNA from 1 species